UACGUAGGGGGCAAGCGUUGUCCGGAUUUAUUGGGCGUAAAGAGCGUGUAGGCGGUUAGGUAGGUCCGUUGUGAAAACUCGAGGCUCAACCUCGAGACGCCGAUGGAAACCAUCUAACUAGAGUCCGGAAGAGGAGAGUGGAAUUCCUGGUGUAGCGGUGAAAUGCGCAGAUAUCAGGAAGAACACCCGUGGCGAAGGCGGCUCUCUGGGACGGUACUGACGCUGAGACGCGAAAGCGUGGGGAGCGAACAGG
rnacentral:rRNA from 1 species